AUUGAACGCUGGCGGCAGGCCUAACACAUGCAAGUCUAACGAGUGGCGGACGGGUGUGUAAUGUCUGGGAAACUGCCCGAUGGAGGGGGAUCACUACUGGAAACGGUCGCUAAUACCGCAUACCAUCGGAUGUGCCCAGAUGGGAUUAGCUAUUAGGUGGGGUAACGGCUAACCUAGGCGACGAUCCCUAGCUGGUCUGAGAGGAUGACCAGCCACACUGGAACUGAGACACGGUCCAGACUCCUACGGGAGGCAGCAGUGGGGAAUAGUGCACAAUGGGCGCAAGCCUGAUGCAGCCAUGCCGCGUGUAUGAAGAAGGCCUUCGGGUUGUAAGGUACUUUCAGCGAGGAGGCGUUACUCGCAGAAGAAGCACCGGCUAACUCCGUGCCAGCAGCCGCGGUAAUAC
rnacentral:rRNA from 1 species